rnacentral:rRNA from 1 species
UACAGAGGUCUCAAGCGUUGUUCGGAUUCAUUGGGCGUAAAGGGUGCGUAGGCGGCGCGGUAAGUCGGGGUGUGAAAUCUCGGAGCUUAACUCCGAAACUGCAUUCGAUACUGCCGUGCUUGAGGACUGGAGAGGAGACUGGAAUUUUACGGUGUAGCGGUGAAAAUGCGUAGAGAUCGGAAGGAACAUCAGUGGCGAAAGCGACUUCCUGGACCAAUACUGACGCUCAUGUGCGAAAAGCGUGGGGGAGCAAACAGG